rnacentral:rRNA from 1 species
UACAGAGGUCUCAAGCGUUGUUCGGAUUCAUUGGGCGUAAAGGGUGCGUAGGUGGCGCUGUAAGUCGGGUGUGAAAUUUCGGAGCUUAACUCCGAAACUGCAUUCGAUACUGCGGUGCUUGAGGACUGGAGAGGAGACUGGAAUUCAUGGUGUAGCAGUGAAAUGCGUAGAUAGUCAGGAGGAAUACCGAUGGCGAAGGCAGGUCUCUGGGCUGACACCGACGCUCAUGCACGAAAGCGUGGGGAGCAACAGG